rnacentral:rRNA from 1 species
AGAGUUUGAUCCUGGCUCAGGACGAACGCUGGCGGCAUGCCUAACACAUGCAAGUCGAACGGAGUUAAGCCCGACACCGAACAUUCAGUUCGGCGUGGAGCGGGAAGCGAAAGCAGGCGAAGCCUGCUGAAGCGGAAAAAAGCCUGCACAACACAAGAUGGAACUGAGUAGUCGGUGUUGGACUUAACUUAGUGGCGGACGGGUGAGUAACGCGUGAGUAACCUGCCUUUCAGAGGGGGAUAACGUCCUGAAAAGGACGCUAAUACCGCAUGACAUAUCGAGGCCGCAUGGCCGUGAUAUCAAAGGAGCAAUCCGCUGGAAGAUGGACUCGCGUCCGAUUAGCCAGUUGGCGGGGUAACGGCCCACCAAAGCGACGAUCGGUAGCCGGGUUGAGAGACUGAACGGCCACAUUGGGACUGAGACACGGCCCAGACUCCUACGGGAGGCAGCAGUGGGGGAUAUUGCACAAUGGAGGAAACUCUGAUGCAGCAACGCCGCGUGAAGGAAGACGGUCUUCGGAUUGUAAACUUUUGUACCUAGGGACGAUAAUGACGGUACCUAGGCAGCAAGCUCCGGCUAACUACGUGCCAGCAGCCGCGGUAAUACGUAGGGAGCGAGCGUUGUCCGGAUUUACUGGGUGUAAAGGGUGCGUAGGCGGCCAAGCAAGUCAGCUGUGAAAACUAUGGGCUUAACCCAUAGCCUGCAAUUGAAACUGUUUGGCUUGAGUGAAGUAGAGGUAGGUGGAAUUCCCGGUGUAGCGGUGAAAUGCGUAGAGAUCGGGAGGAACACCAGUGGCGAAGGCGGCCUGCUGGGCUUUAACUGACGCUGAAGCACGAAAGCAUGGGUAGCAAACAGGAUUAGAUACCCUGGUAGUCCAUGCUGUAAACGAUGAUUACUAGGUGUGGGUGGUCUGACCCCAUCCGUGCCGGAGUUAACACAAUAAGUAAUCCACCUGGGGAGUACGGCCGCAAGGUUGAAACUCAAAGGAAUUGACGGGGGCCCGCACAAGCAGUGGAGUAU